CAAUGGCUAAUGCCGGAUACGCAUGGAACCGCAUGGUCCGUUGUGAAAGGCGCUGUAAGGCGCCACUAAAAGAUGAGGGUGCGGAACAUUAGUUAGUUGGUGAGGUAAUGGCCCACCAAGACUAUGAUGUUUAGCCGGGUCGAGAGACUGAACGGCCACAUUGGGACUGAGAUACGGCCCAAACUCCUACGGGAGGCAGCAGCG
rnacentral:rRNA from 1 species